rnacentral:rRNA from 1 species
UGCCCUAGUAACGGCGAGUGAAGCGGCAACAGCUCAAAUUUGAAAUCUGGCGUCUUUGGCGUCCGAGUUGUAAUUUGCAGAGGGCGCUUUGGCAUUGGCAGCGGUCCAAGUUCCUUGGAACAGGACGUCACAGAGGGUGAGAAUCCCGUACGUGGUCGCUAGCCUUUACCGUGUAAAGCCCCUUCGACGAGUCGAGUUGUUUGGGAAUGCAGCUCUAAAUGGGAGGUAAAUUUCUUCUAAAGCUAAAUACUGGCCAGAGACCGAUAGCGCACAAGUAGAGUGAUCGAAAGAUGAAAAGCACUUUGGAAAGAGAGUUAAAAAGCACGUGAAAUUGUUGAAAGGGAAGCGCUUGCAGCCAGACUUGCCUGUAGUUGCUCAUCCGGGUUUUUACCCGGUGCACUCUUCUAUAGGCAGGCCAGCAUCAGUUUGGGCGGUUGGAUAAAGGUCUCUGUCAUGUACCUCUCUUCGGGGAGAACUUAUAGGGGAGACGACAUGCAACCAGCCUGGACUGAGGUCCGCGCAUCUGCUAGGAUGCUGGCGUAAUGGCUGUAAGCGGCCCGUCUUGAAACACGGACCAAGGAGUCUAACAUCUAUGCGAGUGUUUGGGUGUCAAGCCCGAGCGCGUAAUGAAAGUGAACGGAGGUGGGAACCUUUCGGGGUGCACCAUCGACCGAUCCUGAUGUCUUCGGAUGGAUUUGAGUAAGAGCAUAGCUGUUGGGACCCGAAAGAUGGUGAACUAUGCUUGAAUAGGGUGAAGCCAGAGGAAACUCUGGUGGAGGCUCGCAGCGGUUCUGACGUGCAAAUCGAUCGUCAAAUUU